rnacentral:lncRNA from 1 species
GAUGAUGAAACUGACAAUAUGACAUCUCCUGAAUUUCAAGAUGCAAAUGAUAAUUCGGGAAGGCCAUUUCCUAUCAAAACCGAUCCAAAUCUUUCGGGACAGUAGUCACAAUACACCAAGAUGCAGAUGCUAACAUUGAUGAUAACCAAAAUGCUUCAAAUGAUACACAUACAAUACAUGUCAGCACAACAGGUGAGGAUUUUGAGAAGAUAAAAGACUUUCAAAUGAUCCAUAAGUUAAU